rnacentral:rRNA from 1 species
AUUGAACGCUGGCGGCAGGCCUAACACAUGCAAGUCGAGCGGAGCGGCGGACGGGCGAGUAAUGCCUAGGAAUCUGCCUGGUAGUGGGGGAUAACGUCCGGAAACGGGCGCUAAUAUCGCAUACUACCAGAUGAGCCUAGGUCGGAUUAGCGAGUUGGUGGGGUAAAGGCCUACAAAGGCGACGAUCCGUAACUGGUCUGAGAGGAUGAUCAGUCACACUGGAACUGAGACACGGUCCAGACUCCUACGGGCGGCAGCAGUAGGGAAUAUUUGACAAUGGGCGAAAGCCUGAUCCAGCCAUGCCGCGUGUGUGAGGAAGGUCGUCGGAUUGUAAAACUCUUUAAGUUGGGAAGCGUUACCAACAGAAUAAGCACCGGCUAACUUCGUGCCAGCAGCCGCGGUAAUUC